GCGCGAGUGGCGGAAUUGGUAGACGCGCUAGUCUUAGGAACUAGUGCCUUCGGGCGUGGAGGUUCAAGUCCUCUCUCGCGCACCA
rnacentral:tRNA from 1 species